rnacentral:rRNA from 1 species
AGUGAACGCUGGCGGUAGGCCUAACACAUGCAAGUCGAACGGCAGCACAGUAAGAGCUUGCUCUUACGGGUGGCGAGUGGCGGACGGGUGAGGAAUACAUCGGAAUCUACUUUUUCGUGGGGGAUAACGUAGGGAAACUUACGCUAAUACCGCAUACGACCUACGGGUGAAAGCAGGGGAUCUUCGGACCUUGCGCGAUUGAAUGAGCCGAUGUCGGAUUAGCUAGUUGGCGGGGUAAAGGCCCACCAAGGCGACGAUCCGUAGCUGGUCUGAGAGGAUGAUCAGCCAGACGGGAACUGAGGCACGGUCCAGACUCCUACGGGAGGAAGCAGUGGGGAAUAUUGGACAAUGGGCGAAAGCCUGAUCCAGCCAUACCGCGUGGGUGAAGAAGGCCUUCGGGUUGUAAAGCCCUUUUGUUGGGAAAGAAAAGCAGCAGGUUAAUACCCCGCUGUUCUGACGGUACCCAAAGAAUAAGCACCGGCUAACUUCGUG